AUGGACGCCUGUCGCCUGGUCCUCGUCCUCGGCCUCCUCGCGGCCGCCGCGCCGCUGGCCGCCGCCGACCUCGCCCCCGACUUCUACAAGGAGUCCUGCCCGGACGCCGAGAAGAUCGUCGCCGGCGUCAUCGAGAAGAAAAUGAAGGACGACCCCGGCACCGCCGCCGGCCUCCUCCGCCUCCUCUUCCACGACUGCUUCGCCAAUGGGUGCGACGCGUCCAUCCUCAUCGACCCGCUGUCCAACCAAAGCUCCGAGAAGGAGGCCGGGCCCAACAUCUCGGUCCGCGGCUACGACAUCAUCGACGAGGCCAAGAAGGAGCUGGAGGCCAAGUGCCCCAACACGGUGUCCUGCGCCGACAUCAUCUCCCUCGCCACCCGCGACUCCGUGAAACUCGCCGGCGGCCCGGACUACGCGGUUCCCACGGGCCGCCGCGACUCGCUCGUCUCCAACCGCGAGGAGUCCGACGACAACCUGCCCGGCCCGGACAUCCCCGUGCCCCAGGUCACGGCCGACUUCGUGAAGGCCGGCUUCACCGCCGAGGAGAUGGUGCUGCUGCUCGCCGGCGGCCACAGCAUCGGCAAGGUCAGGUGCAUCUUCAUCGAGCCCGACGCCUCGCCCAUGGAGGCGGGCUAUCACGCCAGCAUCAGCAAGCUCUGCGACGGGCCCAACCGGGACACGGGCUUCGUCAACAUGGACCAGUCCAACCCCAACGUCGUUGACAACUCCUUCUUCGCCAACGCCAUCGCCGAGAAGAUGCCGCUCACCCUCGACCGCCUCCUCGCCAUCGACGAGAAGACGGGGCCCCUGCUCAAGGACAUGCUCAACAAGCCCAAAGAGGACUUCGCGUCGGCAUUCGGCAAGGCCAUGGAGAAGCUCACCGUGCUCAAGGCCAUCACCGGCAAGGACGGCGAGGUCAGGAAGUUAUGCAACGAGUUCAAUAACCCCAUGUCCUCCGACGGCCCCUCGGUCAUACGGAUCAGCUCCGUCGACCCCGAGGACCUGGAUGGCUUGGCGGCUGGCAACAAGCAGCAGCAGGUGUCAAGCACCGUCUCGCAGGGGCACAAGGACGCACAGCCGGAGGCCGCCGGCGGCAAGGCGGACGGUAACGCCGAGAAGCCCCACAAGAAGGCGUCCGGCAAGCACAAGCUCCGCAGCGACUAG
rnacentral:rRNA from 1 species